UGGGGAAUAUUGCACAAUGGGCGCAAGCCUGAUGCAGCCAUGCCGCGUGUAUGAAGAAGAGCCUUCGGGUUGUAAAGUACUUUCAGCGAGAGAGGAAGAGCGUUGUGGUUAAUAACCGCAGCGAUUGACGUUACUCGCAGAAGAAGCACUCGGCUAACUCCGUG
rnacentral:rRNA from 1 species